rnacentral:rRNA from 1 species
AAAUUGAAGAGUUUGAUCAUGGCUCAGAUUGAACGCUGGCGGCAGGCCUAACACAUGCAAGUCGAACGGUAGCACAGAGAGCUUGCUCUCGGGUGACGAGUGGCGGACGGGUGAGUAAUGUCUGGGAAACUGCCUGAUGGAGGGGGAUAACUACUGGAAACGGUGGCUAAUACCGCAUAACGUCGCAAGACCAAAGAGGGGGACCUUCGGGCCUCUUGCCAUCAGAUGUGCCCAGAUGGGAUUAGCUUGUUGGUGAGGUAACGGCUCACCAAGG